rnacentral:rRNA from 1 species
GAAUUGCAGAACUCCGUGAACCAAUGGCCUCUUGAACGUGCAUUGCGCUCUU